rnacentral:rRNA from 1 species
GCGUACGGGUGAGUAACACGUGGAUUAUCUACCUCUUAGUGGGGCAUACCUCUGGGAAACCGGAGACAAUACCGCAUAAGUUCGAGAGAAGAAAGCAGCAAUGCGCUGAGAGAAGAGUCCGCGGCCGAUUAGCUAGAUGGCGGGGUAAUGGCCCACCAUGGCGACGAUCGGUAGCCGGCCUGAGAGGGCACACGGCCACACUGGCACUGAAACACGGGCCAGACUCCUACGGGAGGCAGCAGUGGGGAAUCUUGCACAAUGGAGGAAACUCUGAUGCAGCGACGCAGCGUGGACGACGAAGCCCUUCGGGGUGUAAAGUCCUUUCGACCGGAACGAUAAUGACGGUACCGGUGGAAGAAGCUGCGGCUAACUACGUGCCAGCAGCCGCGGUAAUACGUAGGCAGCAAGCGUUGUUCGGAAUUAUUGGGCGUAAAGAGCUCGUAGGCGGUUUGCCAAGUUUGGUGUGAAAUCUCCCGGCUUAACUGGGAGGGUGCGCCGAAUACUAGCAGGCUAGAGUACGGGAGAGGAAAGCGGAAUUCCUGGUGUAGCGGUGAAAUGCGUAGAUAUCAGGAGGAACACCUGCGGUGUAGACGGCUUUCUGGACCGAAACUGACGCUGAGGAGCGAAAGCGUGGGUAGCAAACAGGAUUAGAUACCCUGGUAGUCCACGCCCUAAACGAUGCAUACUUGGUGUGAGCCAUUCAAUUGGUUCGUGCCGAAGCUAACGCGUUAAGUAUGCCGCCUGGGGAGUACGGUCGCAAGGC